rnacentral:rRNA from 1 species
UCCUGGCUCAGGACGAACGCUGGCGGCGUGCUUCAUACAUGCAAGUCGAACGAGAAUCUCUAGCUUGCUAGAGAGGAAAGUGGCGGACGGGUGAGUAAUAUGUAGAGAAUCUGCCCUUGAGAGGGGGACAACAGAGGGAAACUUCUGCUAAUACCCCAUAUGAGCUUAGCUGCAAUGCUAAUCUUGAAAACUCCGGUGCUCAAGGAUGAGUCUGCAUCUGAUUAGCUAGUUGGCGGUGUAAUGGACCACCAAGGCGACGAUCAGUAGCUGGUUUGAGAGGAUGAUCAGCCACAAUGGGACUGAGACACGGCCCAUACUCCUACGGGAGGCAGCAGUAGGGAAUUUUGCGCAAUGGGGGCAACCCUGACGCAGCAACGCCGCGUGAACGAUUAAGCCCUUCGGGGUGUAAAGUUCUGUCAGCAGGGACGAAUAAUGACGGUACCUGCAGAGGAAGCACCGGCUAACUCCGUGCCAGCAGCCGCGGUAAUACGGAGGAUGCGAGCGUUGUCCGGAAUCAUUGGGCGUAAAGAGUUCGUAGGUGGCAUGUAAAGUCCGGUGUUAAAUUCAGGAGCUCAACUUCUGUUCGGCACUGGAUACUUGCAAGCUAGAAUUCGGUAGAGGUAAAGGGAAUUCCUGGUGUAGCGGUGAAAUGCGUAGAUAUCAGGAGGAACAUCGGUGGCGUAAGCGCUUUACUGGGCCGACAUUGACACUGAGGAACGAAAGCCGGGGUAGCAAAUGGGAUUAGAUACCCCAGUAGUCCCGGCCGUAAACGAUGGAUACUAGGUGUUGCGGGUAUCGACCCCUGCAGUGCCG